CCUACGGGUGGCAGCAGUCGAGAAUCAUUCACAAUGGGGGAAACCCUGAUGGUGCGACGCCGCGUGGGGGAAUGAAGGUCUUCGGAUUGUAAACCCCUGUCAUGUGGGAGCAAAUUAAAAAGAUAGUACCACAAGAGGAAGAGACGGCUAACUCUGUGCCAGCAGCCGCGGUAAUACAGAGGUCUCAAGCGUUGUUCGGAAUCACUGGGCGUAAAGGGUGCGUAGGCUGUUUCGUAAGUCGUGUGUGAAAGGCGCGGGCUCAACCCGCGGACGGCACAUGAUACUGCGAGACUAGAGUAAUGGAGGGGGAAGCGGAAUGCUCGGUGUAGCAGUGAAAUGCAUAGAUAUCGAGAGGAACACUCGUGGCGAAGGCGGGUUCCUGGACAUUAACUGACGCUGAGGCACGAAGGCCAGGGGAGUGAAAGGGAUUAGAUACCCUAGUAGUC
rnacentral:rRNA from 1 species